rnacentral:rRNA from 1 species
GUGAAGCCCCCCUCAAGAUGAGAUAUCCCUUCCCAAGAGGAAGUAAGACCCCUUGAAGACUACAAGGUAGAUAGGGCAGAGGUGGAAGCAUGGUAACAUGUGGAGCUGACUGUUACUAAUCGGUCGAGGGCUUGAUCAA